AUGCAAACUGGAAAUAUAAAUGAAAGCAAUAUUAUUUACAAUUAUGUGUGAACAGUUACAAGUGACAGUUAAAAGUCAUCGUCUAUUUUACCAGCUUAUGAUUAUUCGAGGUUAAUGUCUUAUAAGAAAAAAUGUACUUACUCAAAACGCAGCCAGUGAAAAGGCCAAAAGUCAAAUGGCAAUUGGAUUCCAACAACACGCCGAUGAGGUUGCUACCGAAAACGCUGCCCGUACGGCCGAGCAAUAAGCAAAUACAAACCGCUUUACCGCUGUAACAGAAGCUACACUUACCGCAAAUGAGUGGGCACGAGUUCCACCACACCACUGCCCAGCAUAGAUAUACACAGGCCUGGCAUUGUGAGAAACACAAUAAAGCAUACGACGAUCGUAAUCGGAUUGAGCAGCCAAAACAGCGCGACACAGCAUACCGUGCUGACGAACAAAGAUCCAAUGAUUGUCGCUUUGCGCCCGAAUAUUUUUAUGACCCCGCCUAUCAGAAUAUAGCCCACCACGAAACACAUACCCAUAGAAAUCGAGUCUAUGUAGCUUUUAUCGCUGAUCUCAUCGACGCAUACCUGAAAAGAGUCAGGACUUAGUAUUAGUCAUAUUCAUUAAUUGAAAACUGAUAAGUCGAGUUUAAAAUUAUACACAUUCUAAAAAGCUCAUAAACAUUUUAGGAAUCUAACUUAAAUUUUUGAGUUUGAUAUAUAUUUACCUUCGUAGUAUUUAUAAGAUCAUUUCUAUUUUGAAAUGUGUCACCUAUAAUUUGACAAAUUGUUUCAUGAUUUUCAGCUGUAGUCAUGCUGAGUCUAUUUUGAAUUUCUGGAAACCACAGACCCAUACCGCUAGAGCUAGAAAAUAAAUAAAAAGUAAGUUUAUCACUGGA